rnacentral:lncRNA from 1 species
UUUCUUCUAUUAUUUUCUCUAUACGUUGGUGUUCUAACCAAUAAUCACCGAUGCGAUGUUCUGUCCGAUCGAUUCAGGAACCAACUAACGGAUGCCAAAGUGUUGUACUUUGUGAAUUUCGUUAAACGGAUGCCAAAGUGCUAUACUUUGUGAAUUUCGUUAAACAAAUGCCAAAGUGCUGUCUAAACAAGACUAUACUUUGUGAAUUUCGUUAAGGUUCGGAUCUCGUGACCAUCGUUAGGUUUGAUGUGGCUUUACACUAAUACGUAUUCCACUCUGUUAAACUAAAUGUUUAACUACCCGAAACUCUACACCAUACUCCUACAAUCAAAAUGGAUGUUGAAUCAUCAGAAGGUUCCAAACAAUAAAGUAUAUGCUUAAUUAUCAGAAGGAGUAGAAUCAAGAAGCUUAUUAAAUCAAUACUGCAUGCUUAUAAUGUGAGUCAUUCUCUUUUUAUAAACAAUGUUUUAUAACACUCCAAAUUAUUUUCAAAAGUUAUAAUUACAGGGAUUAAGUCAUGGUUAUCUUGAAUCACUGGCUAGUGGGGUAUUGUGCACAUUACUAAUUUCUCACGGUUAGGCUAAUAAAUCCUAACAGUGAUAAUCAUCACUACUUGGGUGAAAGGACCCAAUAGUGGUAUGACCACCGUCACCAGGAGGUGACACGGCGCCAGAUAAAAAUAAGAUAGAAGCAAUUGUAAUCGCUCUUAUGCUGUAAUUAAUAACUAAGGUGUCAUUUUAUAAAACCUGAAUGAACUUUAAAACGCGUUUCAGGUAAUUACGGUAGGUCGGAAGAAGAGUUGGAUACGACACCAAAAGGCUUACAGAAGUGGCUUAAUUUAUCAAUUAAAUUAAAUUAAGAAAAGUUGUUUUAUGUAUUCGGGUUUGUCCCAUAUUAAAGCUACCUUUCAAAACAUGGUUUUAUCCCAUCUAUUUAAUAAAUAAAAUCCAGUGUUUUCUAAACUCUGAUAUUUUUCCUAACUCACGGUCCUGAUAAAAUUUCCGUUGCACUACUUUUCUAAAUAACCACCGGUACCACUGAACUGGUUCGCGGCUCCCGAUUCCGUCCAGGGUGGGGUCGGGGGUCGUGACAUGGAAGCUUGUGAAGAAGCGGGUCAAGAAGAUCAAAUACGCGGGAAAACAUAAUCGGAUGCAAGGUAAUAAUUGGAGUACCGGAUGACAAUCAAGCCCAAUGGAGAACCAAACACGGCCAAAUUAAAGCUUCCGCACUUUGUUUUGUUAUUACGAAAUGAAAUCAAUGAUAACACAGUGAAUUGUUUAAUUUUUUUUAUAAAGUUUUAAUAAACUUGUUUUAUCUUACAAAGGUAUAAUCUUAUAUAAAUUCUUUUAUAUGCGAAAU